UUCCUAGGUGGUCUCCCAUCCAAGUAUUAACCAGGCCCUACCCUGGUUAGCUUCCAAGAUCAGAUGGGAUUGGGCUUGUUCAGGGUAGCAUGGCUGUAGACAACCAAUAUUCUUUUUUAAGAAGAAUUUUCAUACCUUCUACUUUACCUGGACAAAGCAUAUUGAGAUCCUGACUCAACCCAUAGAAGUGUUCCUGCCUUCAGAGUGAGUAGGCAUAGGUAAGAGUAUGGAUAAAACUUUUGUAAACUGUACUGUUCUUGGCAUAAAUAUGAAUUAUAGUUUAUUUUUAAAAAAAUAUGUGAAGUAGUCACUAAAUGAGUACUCUUUACUAAGGUUAUCUAUUGCCAAGAUAAUUAUAGAAGCAUUUUCUGGGGAAAUUCACUUUAAGUUUUUGGAAUGAUUCAAAAAAUGUCUGUAAAAAAAUUCAUUCAUCGUCUUAAUUUUUGUGGUUAGUGCUUUCAGUUUUUAUAAAUAUUCUCAUUUAUCUGUUUUGGGGGAGCCCAAAGUAAAUAGUUGGAACUUUACAUUUGUUUUAUCCUUAUUUCUACCUAUUAUAUAAUACUUUAAGAAUACAUCAAGCACCUUGAUUUGUUAAAUAACUAGUGUUUAUGGGGAUUCCAUUAAAUUAAUUUUAAGAAGCCUACUAGGUUCUUAUGAAAACCCAUAAUGAGAUGUUUCUUUGUUUUAAUUGUUUAUCCCUGAGUAUGCUAUAUAUCCAUAAAUAAAAUGUCAUAAUAAGUAAUAGCAUGGUAUAUAGUAGGAAAUGCACAGGUUUUUAGAUAGAGGUCAAUUCCAUAACCUACCAUACAGUCACCUUUCCAACAGGGCUGCUCAUGGUGCACAACUCCAGGGGCCACCGUUCAUAUUUUUGGAGUUCCAAGGGUAACAUUUUCAUAGGAUGCAAUGUGAAUAGUGCCCCUGUAAUAGUGCAAUGAUGGCCUUGCUCUCUGAGCCUGAGUUUUCUCCUCUGUAAAAUGGUGCCUGAGUCAAACAGCGUUCCUUAGAACUCCCUAAAUGAUUAAGAUGAAAGGUCAUUAAAGUGUUUUAUCUCCCAAGCCAUGGCAAAAAGGAGCUCAUGGUUCUAGGCAUAGCAAAGCUCUAUUCUACAUUGUCGCACUCCAGUUCAACCUGCAUUGCUCUGCGACAUAGAGUUUGCAUGGAUUAUCUUAGCCUCCUCAUUGGUCUUGCUUAUGAUUUACUUCCCCCAGUCCUUCCAGUACACUCUAUUUAGAUAGAGCCCAACUAUCUAAAUUUCACAUCUGAGCAUGUCAUACCCAGCCAAGGUUUUGAGGCAGGCCGCUGCCAAUGCACACUACUUGUGGUACAUGAUCAAUGCAACAAAGACCCAAAAGAUCUGGGUUAACAUGCACUGGCCAAUGGACAACAUCCUUCUGAGCCCAGAUCCCAACGUGUCCUUAUUUCUCUCACAGCCCAGAGACUUGGUGAGGCCAGGGAGUUACUUUCAGUUGUUUUGCUGAGCCCCACAAAAUACACAAGAUAUUUGGUAAAGAAGGCAGUCAUCAUUUCACUACUUUUGACAAAAUUGUUUCAAAAACUAUUUCAGAUGCAAUACCAGUGAAUAAAGAGCUGUCACAACCAAAGCUAAAAAAAAUGCCAUUGUUUCAAGCUUCCAUUCCUUUGCACAUAUUUUUAUAAUACAAUAUUAAGGUUUUUUAUUUUUUAAAAUACUUUUCCCAUCUAGGUCAUGAACACCUUGAUGGCAGGUGGCAUGUCAGACAUCUUUUAUCCCUAUCAUCUAGCAUAGUGCCCAACAUAAUCUACUCAUGAUCAUAAUAGCUAACACUUAUUGAAUACUUACUAUUGAAAAGAGUCAUUUAACUCCCAAACAGUACAGUGGGGCAGAUGUUAUAAUCCCACUUUUAGAGGAAAAACAAAAAAUGGUUUAGGAAAGUUGCCCAAAGUCACACAAAUGAUUGGUAGGAGAACCAGGAUUCUAAUCUAGAGCUAUCAAAUUCCACAGUCUAAACUCUAAACAUCACCCUAUAUCACUCAACAAAUGUCUAUUGAAAUGAAAAUUAUGUUUUUGUGGCCUCUAGACAGAUAUCUUCAUCAAGUAUCAUUCAAUAUUAGCCUGAAAGUCAAACCUAUCUUAAGGAUUAUUCAGGAGGCAUACCUUGUCAAAGAAAAAAAUACUCUAUAAAUUUGAACAAGGUAGUGAUGAAUUUAUUCCUUGAUUAAUACUUAAUCAAGGAGGCAAAAUACUUGUUCACUGAAAAAUACGAAACAUUUGCUGGAAGAACAUAAAUAAAUGAAAUGACAUCUCAUGUUCAUGGAAUGGAAGACUUUUGUUAAGAGGUAAAUACUAUCCAAAAUAAUCUACAGAUUCAAUGCAAUCCCUACCAAAACCCCCAAAAAGUAUUUUGUAGAAAUAGAAAAACUCAUCCUAAACUGUACAUGGAAUUUUAAGGUUCCCCAAGUACUCAAAACAGUUGCAAAAGAACAACAAAGUUGGAGGACUAGCUUCCUGGUUUUAAAUUUUACUACAAAGCUACAGUAAGCAAAACGUGGCAUAAAGACAGAUAUACAGACUAAUGGAAUAGAAUAGAGAUCUCAGAAACAGACCCUUACAUGUAUGGUCAAAUGAUUUUCAACAAGGGUGCCAAGACCAUUCAAUGGGGGAAAGGACGGUAUUUUCAACAAAUGGUACUGGAAAAACUAUAUCCACAUGUAAAGGAAUGAAGUUAGACCAUUACCUUACACCACAAACAAAAAUUAAAAUGGAUCAAAGGCCUAAAUGAAAGACUAAAACUUUAAAAUUCUUAGAAGGAAGCUUUAUGACAUUGAAUUUGGCAAUGAUUGCUUGGAUAUGACACCGAAAGCUAAGGCAACAAAAGAAAAAAUAGAACUAUGUCAAAAAAAAUUGGACUACAUCAAAAUUAAAAACGUGCAGCAAAGGACACUAUUAAGAGAAAAAAAUGCAACCCACCAAAUGGGAGAAAAUAUUUGCAAAUUAUAUAUCUAAUAAAGGAUUAAUAUCCACAAUAUAUAAAUAACUGCAACUCAAUAACAAAACAACCUAAUUCAAAAACGAGCAAAAGACUUAAUAGACAUUUCUCCAAAGAAGAUAUACAAAUAGCUAAUAAGCACACGAAAAGAUGUUCAAUUGCCACAAAUGGAAAUGCAAACCAAAACUGCAAUAAGCUACCAUUCCACACCAAUUAAGAUAGUUUUUAAAAAAAAGUGUUGGCAAGGAUGUGGAGAAAUUGGAACCCUUGUGCAUUGUUGGUGGGAAUAUAAAAUGGUGCAGCCACUGAGAAAGUCAGUAUAAUGCUUCUUCAAAAAAUUAAACAGAAAUAUCUGAUCCAGAAAUUCCACCUCUAGCUGUAUAUCCCAAAGCAUAUAUAUACUAAAAGCAGAGACUCGAGCAUAUUUGUACACCCAUGUCCAUAGCAGCAUUAUUCACAAUAGCCAAGAAGUAGAAACAACUCAAAUGUCUAUCAACAGAUGAAGGAAUCAAUAAAAUGUUGUAUAUACAUACAUUGGGAUAUUAUUCAGCCUUAAAAAGGAAAAGUAUUCUGAUACUUGCUAAAACAAAGAUGAACCCUGAAAACAUGCUUAGUGAAAUAAGCCAGACACAAAAGUACAAAUAUUGUAUGAUUCCACUUAUAUGAGGUAUCUUAGAAUAGUCAAAUUCAUAGAGACAGAAAAAUGAUUACUAAAGGCAAGAAGGAGAGAGAAAUAGUUAUUAUUUAGUGGGUACAGAGCUUCAGUUCGACAUGAUGAUAAAGUUCUGGAGAUGGUUAGUGGUGGUUGUACAACAUGAAUGUAUUUAAUGCUACUAAACUGGGUACUCAAUGGUUAAAAUGAUAAAUUUUAUAUUAUGUAUAUUUUAUCACAAUAAAAAGAAAAAACUGUCAGCAUGCCUCUUAGUACCCCAUAUUUAAGAGAUCAGCCAACAGUAUGUAAGUGUACCCCAUCACACUAUGGACACAGUUGACCCCAGCAUCAAGUUUUAUGCCCAAGGCCGUGGUAUUGAGAGCCCUUGGAUAGAUGCUCUGAGGGGUCAGAGAUGGAUAGGAGGCAAUCUCUGCCUCCCUGUUACUUAGUAAAGUUAGAAAACAGUAAAUAUAAAAAAUAAAAGAUCAUACCAUGGGCCAGGUAAGUGCUAUGGACUCUGUUUAAGUGUUACACAAGAAGAAGAUAUUCAUUCCAUCUUUAUGUUUUCUACAUAAGGUUGUUACCACAGUGUAUUAAGCCCAGCUCACACCUCCUCUAAAAUUGUUUUACAUCCACAGAUCCAGCUCAAGAACAGACAACCAUGUUUUCAAGGUGACUCUACCGCAGUCACAGGUGGUCAGACCAAGGAUAGAACACUGAUCCAAGAUCUACUCCAUAGCUGGGCCAAUCCAUUAAUUUCUGAGAAUUUUCUACUAAAAAUAAAAAAGACAGAGUCAGAUGAUAAUGGACCCUUGAAUUUAAAGGCCAAGUAGGAUGGGGCUACAGCACUAAUAUUGGGUCAUGUGCAAGCCCUGGAAGCUGGUAAGAAUGAAGUGGAGUGGAAAUGGUAGGCUAUACAACCUUAGAGAGAGAAGAGCCUAAUAAAAUGGUCUUGAAAUUCCUGUCUC